AGCAACUAGGAGGAAUGUAUAGGAAAAGCUGGUAAGAAGGUGAUUACCUAGUUGUAUUAAGGCUACUAGUAAUACAAUAUUAACAGAGUUAAAUAAAGUUCUAAGUAGAUAUUGAUUAUGACAGUAUUUGCUGAUGUCUUGACCAAGUCACGUGCCAGCAGUCGCGGUAAUACGUGGAAGAUUAGUGUUAUUCAUAUUUAAAAGGUUUAAAGGGUACCUAGACGGUUAAUUAAACAAUAACAUAUAUGUAUUAAUAAACUAGAGUUUAAUGUAAGAAAGAUAGAGUACGGUGAGUGUAAAGAUAAAAUUUUAUGAUACCACUAAGGAACUGGUAAGGCGAACGCAACUUUCUAUGUAAAAACUGACGUUAAGGGACGAAGGCUCGAUAAAAAAAAUAGGAUUAGAGACCCUAGUAUUGCGAGCAGUAAAUGAUGAGUGUCAUAUAUAAGAAUUUUUUUUUUGUAUAAAUGAAAGUGUAAGCACUCCACCUCAAGAGUAACGUGGCAACACGGGAACUGAAAUCAUUAGACCGUUUCUGAAACUCGUAGUGAAGUAUGUUGUUUAAUUUGAUAAUCCACAAAUAACCUUACCACACUUUGAAUUACAUCCAGUUUAAUAUGCUGAUUGAUGUAACAAGCGUUGCACGGCUGUCUCCAGUUAAUGUUGUGAAACUGUGGUUAGAUCCAUUAAAUUGACGUAAACCCUCUCUUUACUUGUUGUAGAGUGGUUCGCCGCUAUAUUGGUAGUGAUAUAAGGGACUAAGACAAGUCAUCAUGACCUGAACAGUGUGGGCUAUAGACGUGCCACAUUACCUUAACAAAAAGAUGCAAAA
rnacentral:rRNA from 1 species